AGAGAGAGACAUGCGUGCAUAUCAAUAAGCGGAGGAAAAGAAACUAACUAGGAUUCCCUCAGUAACGGCGAGUGAAGCGGGAAGAGCUCAAAUUUGAAAUCUUCAAGGUUCUACCUUGACGAAUUGUAGUUUAAAGAAGUGUUUUCUGUUGGAGUUUUGGUAAAAGUUCUUUGGAAUAGGACAUCAUAGAGGGUGAGAAUCCCGUAUUUGACCAUUAUUUCCAGCUUUGUGAUACACUUUCAAAGAGUCGGAUUGUUUGGGAAUGCAGUCCAAAAUGGGUGGUAAAUUUCAUCUAAAGCUAAAUAUUGGCGAGAGACCGAUAGCGAACAAGUACCGUGAGGGAAAGAUGAAAAGAACUUUGAAAAGAGAGUUAAACAGUACGUGAAAUUGUCAAAAGGGAAGCGUUUGACACCAGUGUUGUUUUCUCGAAAAUCAAUUAAAAAAGGCAGGAUUUUGUGUUGUAUUGACUUUAUCAGCUUUCUGCACUCUUUUCUUGUCUUUCUUUAAUGCACUUUUCAGUUAACAAGUCAACAUCAAUUUCUUUUGCUGUAAAAAAGCUUGAGGAAGGUGGCUUGAGAUUCGUCUUAAGUGUUUAUAGCCUCUUGCCUAUGCAGUCGGAGAGAUUGAGGUCUGCAGCGUAGAUCCUUCGGGGCUAAAUGCAUUUGUGCUAAGUUAUAGCAUUUUAUAGACAACUUGUUGACUAUGAUUUGUCUUGUAGCUUACUCGCUUAUGCUAUUUUACCUACGCUUAGGAUGUUGA
rnacentral:rRNA from 1 species